CUUUUUAAUAUCAGCUAACUGUAUUUUCAGGGAAAGAGGACCAGAGCUACAGAGAGAAAUAAAGGAAAAACCCACCCAGGAAAAUAAAGACACAAAACUGUAGCUGUGAGGGAGGGAGUGGGGAGACUUCCUUUUGAGAGCGGCUGUGGGCUGCUUUCGAAGCAAAUCUGGGUGCCUCGGGGGCCCAGGGGUGUGUGGCUGCUAGGGACUGCAGUCUAUUCCCAGGGUGAAAGGGAGACAAAAAAUGGCACUUUGAAACCUGUGCUCUCGGAGCCACAAUCCACCCCCAGCCUCUUCAGAGAUCCAGGGUGAAGAUCCCAGCUCUGAAAUCAAACGGCUCAGCCUGGUGACCAUGGUGACCAGUGGCUCUUGUGACAUCAGAUUUGUGAGCUUUGAUCCCCCUUCUGUAAAAUGAGGCCACAGCCAUGGUGCCAGCCUUCUUGCUCUUCCGAAAAUGCAGCGGCUGGAAAGAAUCUGCAAAAACCUCCUUAUGUCACCUGGUGAAGGAAAGGUGGAAGAAGCGGGCUGGACGGGGCGGGUUGACCAGCUGACAGAUUGGCUGUCGAGGCUUCUAAGAAGAACAGAGAGACUGUUUGUCCCUUGGAUCCUUGAAGCUGCUGUGACGUCCACGUCACUGAGGGAACACGCUCUCUCUGGAGCCUGUGGAAGACAGCACAGACCAGAUGACCUGAUGGGAGUGAACCAUUUCAAAAGGAACAGGAGAGGAUCUGUGCGCACCUCGGAGAGCUCCCCCAAAGGGACUGGUGUGAAAUUCUGGAAUCCAUCCUCACUCAUGAAGAAAUGUGAAACUGGGCGUGAUUCUAGAAGUAGCUGUUCAGUUGCUCAGUCGUGUCCAGCUCUCUGUGACCCCACGGCCGGUAAUCUGCAAGUCUCCUUUGUCCAUGGGAUUUCCCAGGCAAGUAUACUGGAGUGGAUUGCCAUGUCCUUCUCCAGGUCUAGAAGUAGGGAGCAGAUUAGAAUGGACUCACAAGGUCUGUUAUUACCAGUUUGUGGCUGUUUUAGGGGGUAUAUUUUGCCACCCUGCCCCCCUCAGGCCAUGCCACUGGGCACCAGGACUCAGGAUGAGGAGGGAAUGCUCUUGUCCCCACCCAGCACCAUCAUUAUUAUUAUAACCUUUUUUUUUCUUUUUAAGCCACCUCCAGAGAUG
rnacentral:lncRNA from 1 species